GACGAACCGUGCGAACGUUAUUCGGAAUCACUGGGCUUAAAGCGCGUGUAGGCGGACGGGCACGUCCGUAUCUGAAAUCCCCCGGCUCAACCGGGGAAGUGGGGCGGAUACGACUCUUCUGGAGGGGCGUAGGGGGACCUGGAACUUCCGGUGGAGCGGUGAAAUGCGUUGAGAUCGGAAGGAACGCCCGUGGCGAAAGCGAGGUCCUGGACGCUUACUGACGCUGAGACGCGAAAGCCAGGGGAGCGAACGGG
rnacentral:rRNA from 1 species